rnacentral:rRNA from 1 species
CAGUUCGGAUCGCAGGCUGCAACUCGCCUGCGUGAAGUUGGAAUUGCUAGUAAUCGCGGAUCAGAAUGCUGCGGUGAAUGCGUUCCCGGGUCUUGUACACACCGCCCGUCACACCACGGAAGUUGGGGGCGCCCGAAGCCACUUAGCUAACCCUUUUGGGAAGCGAGUGUCGAAGGUGAAAUCAAUAACUGGGGUGAAGUCGUAACAAGGUAGC